rnacentral:rRNA from 1 species
AUUGCAGGCUGCAACUCGCCUGCAUGAAGUUGGAAUUGCUAGUAAUCGCGAAUCAGAAUGUCGCGGUGAAUACGUUCCCGGGCCUUGUACACACCGCCCGUCACACCAUGGGAGUCGGAUAUGCCCGAAGUCAGUGACCCAACCAUAUGGAGGGAGCUGCCGAAGGUGGAGCCGAUAACUGGGGUGAAGUCGUAACAAGGUAUC